rnacentral:lncRNA from 1 species
AAGGCCCCACCUCCUAAUACCAUCACACUGGGGCUUAGCACCUCAACAUAUCAAUUUUGGGGAAAUACAAUUCAGUUCACAGUGCAUAGAUAGAUAUUAAUUGAUAUUAUCAAAAGAAACCAUGGGCAGAUAAACCCAAAACCAAACUGUUUUAAUGGUUAUCUAUUGGGAAGAAAAAGAAACAGGGUGAACGGGAAGUUACAGAAGCAAGAUUUCUGUGACUGUAACUGGAUAAAUAGAGAGUUUGGGAGGACGAUAAGUGUUUUAUGUGAUUUUUAAAAAUUAAAGUAAACUGAAAUGAAUGAGUCUUCCUGCAUAUAAAGUGUGUGGCAUAACCACAUAAAGCAAACAAUUACUUAAAGUGGCUUUAAAACGCAGCAUUUUGACUAUACAUCCCAAGUGAGAGAUAUGCUAUGGACAAUAAAAAAAAGGAAAAGAAAAAAGGAAAGAAAUCAUAAAUGGCAUUCAGUAGCCAUAUAUUAGUAUUGACAUUUUUAUUAAAUUACUAUGUUUCCAUCAUUAGGAACCAUAAUUUUCAGUAUAAAAAUGACAUAGCAUAAAAUCAAGGAAGUUUAAGUAAAAAUCUUGUAAUCUUAAAAGUGAAUUGGAAAUUGCAGUAUGAACUCACAUUGUGUUUUACUCUUUAAAAAAUACAUAUUUUCUAGUUCUGUCCACUGAAAAGACCCAGAAGCAAUGAAAACCCAGUAACAAUGAGCACACUUCCACGGCUGAACUCUCUAGAUAACAUUUACCAAUGAAAUUGGCUGAUUCUAAGUCUAGGGCAAAAAAUGUACAAAAGGAGACUGGAUACAAGUCUCUUAUUGUACCAGAAAGUGAAGGAGAAAUCAAAGACUAAUGAGGUCACGUUAAAGUGAUACAGGACGACACAGGGCCUGCCUGCAGCAGCUGGUCAAUAAUGAAGGGAUUAAUCCAUGACUGCAAGACUCGUGGGAAGGAGGGAGUGGGGACUGCAGGGAGGGUCCUAGUAAAAGCAGGGUGGGCCUCGAUGAGCACAGCAUGGACAGUGCGAUUUAAAUCCCAUCGCUUGUGGGCAGGAGGAGUGAGGAUGCCAGAACCUAGUUAUCCCCCACCAUCCCACGCUCUCCCAGGAGGCGGCGGCAGGAAGUGCAGUCUACAGUAAGGGAAAGCCGCCGGAGCUGGAGACAGGCUGGAAAGAGCAGGUAACAGCCCACAAGGAGCGGGGGCCCUGGCUGUCAGACUCAACUUGCAGGACCAUCAAGUGCAGGUGUGGUUCAAGAACCGGGGCCGCUUGCUCUGCGGUAGCAACGGCACAUAACCGCAGCGAUGACCAGGGCAGCCAAGCCAGCAGCCGGGACCCCGGGAUGCUCUUGGCACAUGAUCCGACUCCCCUGCCUUUGCGGGUCCUGUACUCCCGCGAGGUCCAGGAUUGUGCAGCCCCUCCCCAACCGGCCGUUGGGAAUCUUCGCAGCAGCAGAACCCGCUGCCUCCAGGUCCGACCAGACCUGCAUAGGUAGAGAGUCCCCGCACAGGGCGGCCAGCAGAGCUACCCAGCUGCCCCAGGGCCUCGGGACCCCUGGGCCUGGGACCCAGGCCAGACCCUGACUCAUUCGGUGAUCUCACAGGACUCCUCCCACCCCAAGACCCUUUCAGGGACCCUGCCUCGAACUCCACGACAUGGGAGGCAGGGGCGGGCCUUUUGCAGGGGAAGGACUCCCCCAGCAGGACGUUUACUGAAUCUGGAGGGAGUCGCCCUGCAGAUAUCCCGCGGAAGCCGGAGGAGACCCAGCAAUUCCAUUUUGGAAAAUUUAUCCUGAGGAAAUAAAUAAAGAUGUAAACAGAGAAUAACUUACAGAUGUGACGUUUGUGAUCGUUAAAACUGGAAACAGCGCAAGAGUGGACGAUAGGGGAUGAGAGAGCCACACAGCGCAUAGAAGAUGAUCAGUCUGAAGAGAGGGUUUUCAGACAUGCAAUUAACUGCUAUUCACUGUACUUCAUUUUAACUGCAAACUAGCAGUCUCUUUCCCCAGGAAAAAAGAGGUCAACUCGGAGGAGCCAGGGAUUCAGCCCACUCUGGACAACACUCAGAGCCAUGGCACCUACCUGUAUGAAAAAAAAUUGUUAAGCAGCUGCCACUCCUAGUUACUGGCCUCUGCUCGGUGACUGAUGCACUUCUAACAUCCUUGUCCCAGGAUAAAGACCUUGUAAUGGAGAAAAAAGAUGGCAGGGAUCCUUUCCAUGGAAUUUCGGCUGUUGUCUAGUGGACCUUCCAGGAAUUGUCUGAUUCUAUGGGAGUGCGCAACUUUGACUGUUCAGUUGGGCCAAUUGGCAACACUGUAGAGACGGAAACUAACUUGUGGAGGGCUGAGGGUGAUACAGACAUUUUCUGUCCGUGGUAAUGCAAAAGGUGUUCAUAGCAAUGCAAAUGGAUUUUAUCCAAUGGGGGAGAUAAAUAUUUGAACGGGCUCUCUUGUUAAUUACUAGUUAAUCAAAAUAUUUGACAUGUAUUCAUUCUAUAUUUAUAGGGGAGUCAUGAUUCUACCUUUUUGGAAAUGACCCUCUAGCAGUUUUAUUGGUCCUAUGAGAUACACAGUAGAUUCACCAGCCAGAGCCAGAUGAGCUGCACAGUUGCCAAAGGGAACUUCAGAUGCCACCAGAGCCUCAGCUCUGUCCUCCCUCACCUCCCAAGGUGACUUCCAAGCAGCCACAGAACUUUAAUUUUACUUACUCUCUGUUUCUCUAGUUUUAUUUUUCUAAUCUUUACUGAAUUUGUGUCUGUGGUUUUAUUUCUGGUUUAUUCCUGACUAUAAGUUAUUCCCUAUUCUUGACAACAGUGAUUGAGAAUUUGGUUUUUGGCCUGACCAUUUAGUCAUCUCUGUAGAUGGAUGACACAGAUCUAAUUCCUUUCAAGUGAGAGACAACAGGAAAUCCGGUUUGUUGGUCCUUUCUUGUUUGUUUAUUUUGAGCUCCAGUCAGUUAGAAAUUUAGUGCCCGCUGCAAAGCACAGCUCUUUGAGACUUGGGAUUGGUAAGAGGGUGUGUUGCUUACUUCUGGCCUGUGGCUGAAUUUGCAGGGCCAAAGCCAAAAUCUCUCCAUAUGUCUGUCAUCUGUGAUCCAUGUGUCUGCAAGUCUAUAACUGAGAAAAGCCUUGAUUCCGUGAUAUGUGAGUGUGAAAUAAAUUAAUAAAUUAGUUAUGUCUCUUAAAUCAAAGGAGCUCUGUUCUUACUAGUUUAUAGGAAAAAAGGCACUUAUAUAUCUUAUAUAUCUCAUAUUUCUAGCUUCUAGUGCUUUCAAUGUGUUAGGCUUUUUAAAAUAUCCUUCAUACAGAAACUGCUACCUUAAAUACAUUUUAUAAAACCAAGUUCCUGUAACUAAGGUAAAUCUGUGGCAAGUCAAACUAGCUUAAUAAUUUUGGUUUUUAAAAAACAGAUUGGUCUUGUCUUUGAUUUACAGUGUUAAGUAUAAUUCAAUUGUGUAUUUGAUCAAAUCUCUCAUGAAGAGAAUAAUCUGGUCUUCUUAAAUAGUUUAUCAAAAAGAUAACAUUAGUCUAAUACAAUGUCACUAUUAUGAAAACUGAAUAUUGGUAUUACUCUAAAUUGAAUCACUAUUUAGACACAUCCGUUACCUCAACCUAUGUUUUGUAGUAUAAUUUAUCCAAUUAAAUAAAUGUCCAAGAUCUUUAGAUAACUUAGAACCUGGAAUCUUCAGAUAAAUCAGAACCUGACCCUGAAUGGAGUUAAUUAAUAGAUAAUCAUCAGAUACCUAGAUAAACGAAGUAGGAUAUAACACUAAAACAUGGAUUGCUAAGCCUACUUUUAGGCUUAUCCACUUUUGCUCCUUAUUUUUAUAUUCUGCAGAAAGCCUGGAUCUUUGAGUUGUGUUGAUGGGCAUAUUCGUGUUUGCCACUUGAAGGAGUAAGAGGCCCGCGUGGAUCUGGAGGCAAGUGGCUGUGCCCUCCUGCAAUCUGCUCACCUGCAGAAAUGCUCGCGUAGGGCAGCUCUCAAUUUUCUGCCACCUCCUCAGCUUUUUCUGUGAAACAGAAGUUGGUUACUUUGGAUGAAAAUUAUCUUUCAUAUAGGUGGUUGGUACACGAAGCAAUAGUGACAAAUAAAACUCUGUGUGCGUGCUUCUGUUUUGUCAUGCAAUGAAAAGUAGUUUUGUUCCAGAAUAUGAAUGAACACAGUGAAUGAAGGUCUAAAGAAGUGAAUGUUAUUUGCCUUGGUUUAUAAUACCUGAGUCUGAAAAGAGACAUGAAGUAACUUAGAUCUUAGCAAAGUUUCCUCACUUUUGAUGGGCUUGCCGCCUUGGCUUACUGGUCACCGCCUUCAUCUACAGCAGGGGUCCCCAAUCCCCGGGCUAUGGUCCAGCAACAGUCCAUGGCCUGUUAGGAACCGGGCCACAUAGCAGGAGAUAAGCGGUGGUUACAGCUGCUCCCCAUCACUCACAGUACUGCCUGAGCUCUGCCUUCUGUCACGGUGGCAUGAGAUUCUCACAGGAGUAUGAACCCCUAUUGUAAACUGUGCAUGCAAGGCAUCUAGGUUGUAUGCUCCUUAUGAGAAUCUAAUGCCUGACAAUCUGUCACUCUCUCCCAUCACCCCCAGAUGGGACCAUCUAGUUGCAGGAAAAUAAGCUCAGGCCUCCACUGAUUCUAUAUUAUUGUGAGUUGUAUAAUUAUUUCAUUAUAUAUUACAAUGUAAUAAUAAUAGAAAUAAAGUGUACAAUAAAUGUAAUGUGCUUGAAUCAUCCAGAAACCAUCCCCCCAUCCCAGUCCGUGGAAAAAAUGUCUUCCAUGAAACCGGUUCCGGGCGCCAGAAAGGCUGGGGACCACUGACCUGCAGCACAAAGGCUAUUCUUUACCUUCCUUGUGGUCUGCCUGACAGCAAAAGUGUGUGUCUUGCCAGAAAAAUUUCUGUGCCUUAUGCUGACUUCAUUCAGUCCUUGAGUAUUUAAACAAAACAAUACAAAAACUCACUUGUGAAAGAGAUGAUUCUUUAAACUCAUGUCACCUUCUGUUUACUUUUACAUUUGUUUGCAUUAUUAAAAGAGUAAGCAAGAAUUAUUUCUUCAGCACCCAUGAUAUGCUCUGAGUCAAGUGCCUAAAUCUUCUCUGACAACUCUUUUGAUUUUUCCUUCUAGAGAUCAGAUCCUAAAUAUAGAAAGAGUAAAAGAAAACUUUUUAUCUUGAACUAAAACAUUCUUUGAAACUUCCCAGAGGGCCCCUGGAAAUUCACGAGAUUUGUACUUUCACCCUAUGAAGCAAGAGCAAGAGAGGCCAGAAGUAAUUAUGUUUAUUAUUCUUUAAUCAGCAUCUGAAGAGAUGCUCAGCCUCCCUAGGUUAAGUUUGUAUCAGUAAACUCAUUAUAAAUAGUUCAGACACUGCACACUUUGUAGGAAGGCCCUGAAGCUUUGCCAGUGCCCUCGUCGCCGUCCAUUGUAUGCUUUACCUUUAGUGAGACACUGAUCAAAAUGCUUAUGAAAUAGUUAUUUCCCAGUAGAGAAUCUUACUUUCCUGCGGUUGCUGUAAUAAAUUAACCAACAGUCAACUACCAGUAGUUUUGUAUUUACUCUGAUGUGCACCUGGGACUCUGCUGUAAGCCACUGGUGAGCGGCUGUGCCUUCCACAAGGGGCAGCCUCAGAGGCUCAAGAGGACAUGCAGGGGCUCUAAGCUGAGGAUGCUACAGUGAAUCACCUCGCGGGGACACGCUCCUGAGCGGACCUCACUUAGGCCACCUUCAGAUCAUCCAUCAGACGGAGUCAUGACUUCUAGGCCUCUAAGCUCAGAGCAGAGGCUCCCUAAAAGUUCUCUCUUGACUGGAUCCAGAGAACAGGAAUUAUUACUUAGGAUUGAAUGAGGCAAUUUUGUCUUGGUUAUUUUUUGGAAUAUUGCUGAUGUUGCUUUGAUGUUCUUUCAUUUCUAGAUCUGUGAGGAAGCUCCUUCUCUUCCUUUUUAACCUACAAUUUAAUAGACUUUGCUUUUGUCAAUUGAAAAGAAACAUUUGUAAAAUAGUUUCUUAUUUUCACUAACCCUCCAGAACUCAGAAAAUGACUUAGUCUUAAGUUUUCAUGGAAAUAUAGUUAUUUUCAUAAAUUCAAUGGAGAACUUUUCUUCUUUUGCUGGGAUAAAACAGCAUUAAGCAAUAAGGGUUAUUGUGGGGUUGUCAUAAUUGGAGGUGAGUCUCAUUUAAUCAGGUGGGAUAAGCCACUUUUAUACAGAAUUGAUGCCACAAAGCUACUGCAGGAGAACAUGCUGGGCCCUUGAGUCCUAGCCUCACAGGUGGUAGGAAAGGUGGUUUCCUGCAGGCCAGGAGCAAGCAUCAACUGAUGUAGGGAACUUUGAGAAGCGAGGAAGCCAUCCAAAGUUACAGAUACAUAGGUGAGAGCUGGUGGUGACAGUUCCUUGAACUCGGUUUCCCAGCAGAUAAAAGAGGCUUUUAUAAAUCCCAGCUAAGAUUUUCUAUUCAGACAGGAGCGAAUUCCAGGGCCAUGGCAGUUGCUUAAUGCUGCACAGCACUCUAGAUUUGAAAGCUACAGGCCAGGUGCGGUGGCUCAUGCCUGCAAUCCCAACACUUUGGGAGGCCAAGGUGGGCAGAUCACUUGAAGUCAGGAGUUCAAGACCAGCCUGGCCAAAAUGGUGAAACCCCAUGUCUAUUAAAAAUACAAAAAUUGGCUGGGCAUGGUGGCGCACGCCUGUAAUUCUACCUACUCAGGUGGCUGAAGCAGGAGAAUCACUUGAACCCGGGAGGCAGAGGUUGCAGUGAGCUGAGAUCAUGCCACUACACUCCAGCCUGGGCAACAGAGUGAGACUCUACCUAAAAAAAUAAGAAAGCUAACCCAAGGAGGUCUGGAAAGUCUAGAACAUUCUCACUGCACCUGUGUAAAUAGGCCAAACUGAGACCCAUUGUCUUGUGAUCGAGAAUCAUUUUUGGAGACUGUUGUGAUCCUGGGGCAGGGAGACAAAGAUUGUUCAGUUGUUAUAGGCUUUACAUGGGCAAAAAACUCAGUGUCCCUUUGAUGGAUUCUGGGCAGUGGCUAGGGACCCUCAGGGAUUGUCGGAUUCCGUGGGGACACAUGCCUUCAAUUCUCUGGGCAGGGUUGUUCUGCAGUUCUGCAGAGACAGCAUCAGCUCGUGUGGGGCUGCUGAAGAUGCAGAAGUUUCCUGUUCCUAGCUAUGCACAUAAUUCUGGGCCAAAGCAACGCACAUGCAUCUUGUCCAGUAGAAAAUAUAAACCUCUGUACAUCCAGUUCUCAUUUAAACUGCCUGUAA